CACGAAGGAACGCAGACUAAAAGCGCCACGUCCUUUGGCUAUGUCUGCAUGACCCCCAUCCUGGGGG
rnacentral:sRNA from 2 species